rnacentral:rRNA from 1 species
GGUUUUUUGAAAGUUAAUAAAAAAUCAGGCCUGCCCACUGAUAAAGGGCUGCAGUAUUUUGACUGUACAAAGGUAGCAUAAUCAUUAGUCUUUUAAUUAGGGACUGGUAUGAAAGGUUAGACGGAAGUAAACUGUCUCAUAUAUAAAAAUAAAUUUUAUUUUUAAGGAAAAGAGCUUAAAUUUGACAAUGGGACGAGAAGACCCUAUUAAAUUUAAUAUAAUGGUUUAUUUUUAAUUGUAUAAAAGAAGUAUAUUUAUAUUAAUUUUACUGGGGCGGUGUGUUUACAACUUUAUUAGGAUUUAAUAUGGUGAAUAGCGGUGAUUUGAUCCGAGGAGAUUGAUAUUAGAUAAAAUUACUAUAGGGAUAACAGCGUGAUGUUUUUUGAGAGUUCUUAUUGACAAAAAUGUUUGCGACCUCGAUGUUGGAUUAAGAAUUCUUAUUGAUGCAGUAGUUUUUGAAGAAGGUCUGUUCGACCUUUAAAUUCUU